rnacentral:ncRNA from 13 species
UCAAGAGCAAUAACGAAAAAUGU